rnacentral:tRNA from 1 species
GUAAGGAUUUCCGAGAAUGAUUUGAAGUCAUUUUUUUCGCAUUUGUUUGUGAUGCUCGCU